GAACUCAACUACUUGAACUUGAUGACCCAGAAAGGACUUUAUAUGGUUCUGAGCCUUCUUCUUCAAAAUGGCCCUCUGUUAAGAAAGCUUCUUACUCAAGCAUCAACAUUAAGCGGCCCGCUGNNNNNCACCCCAAUCUUCAUGGAAGUACGGCAACAAUCAUACUCAAGCUUCAUCUCCAAACUCCGCGCAGAUUGACAAGCCUUUGCAGAAACUAUCUGUUAGUUUACCUCUUCCCG
rnacentral:misc_RNA from 1 species